AUGGGGUGCAGCAGGCGAGAAAACUUUGCAAUGUGCGAAAGCACGACAAGGUUAAUCCGAGUGAUUUCUGCUAAAGAAAUCUUUUGCAAGUCAUAAAACCACUAGUGAAUAAGGGGUGGGCAAGUUCUGGUGUCAGCCGCCGCGGUAAAACCAGCACCUCAAGUGGUCAGGAGGAUUAUUGGGCCUAAAGCAUCCGUAGCCGGCUCUGUAAGUUUUCGGUUAAAUCCAUGCGCUCAACGCAUGGGCUGCCGAAAAUACUGCAUAGCUAGGGAGUGGGAGAGGUAGACGGUACUCGGUAGGAAGGGGUAAAAUCCUUUGAUCUAUCGAUGACCACCUGUGGCGAAGGCGGUCUACCAGAACACGUUCGACGGUGAGGGAUGAAAGCUGGGGGAGCAAACCGGAUUAGAUACCCGGGUAGUCCCAGCUGUAAACGAUGCAGACUCGAUGAUGCAUUGGCAUAUAGCCAGUGCAGUGUCGCAGGGAAGCCGUUAAGUCUGCCGCCUGGGAAGUACGUACGCAAGUAUGAAACUUAAAGGAAUUGGCGGGGGAGCAC
rnacentral:rRNA from 1 species